AUCACUUCUCAGCCUUUGGGCUAAGAUCAUACGUAGUAUCUGUUAUUAUCAGUUUAACAUCUGACACGUGUCCUCUAUUCAAGGACAAUAUGUUAAAUGGAUUUUUGGAAUAGGGCGAUGAAACAGGAUUGCUUGCUCCAUCCACUCCACACAUCAACCUCGUAUUGCAGUACCUCCAGGAACAGAGCACCACUA
rnacentral:snRNA from 1 species